rnacentral:pre_miRNA from 2 species
AGUUCUUCAGUGGCGAGCUUUAUGUCUUGUCCCAGCUAAAGCUGCCAGUUGAAGAACUGC